GCUUUGGCGCAGACGGUAGAGCAUCAGACUUUUAAUCUGAGGGUCCAGGGUUCAAGUCCCUGUUCAGGCG
rnacentral:tRNA from 1 species